rnacentral:rRNA from 1 species
UACGUAGGGUGCGAGCGUUGUCCGGAAUUAUUGGGCGUAAAGGGCUCGUAGGCGGUUUGUCGCGUCGGGAGUGAAAUCCACUGGCUUAACUGGUGGCUUGCUUUCGAUACGGGCAGACUGGAGGUAUGCAGGGGAGAACGGAAUUCCUGGUGUAGCGGUGAAAUGCGCAGAUAUCAGGAGGAACACCGGUGGCGAAGGCGGUUCUCUGGGCAGUGUCCUGACGCUGGAGGACGAAAGUGUGGGAGCGAAGCAGG